AGCUCCAAAAGCAUAUAUUAACAUUGUUGCGGUUAAAAGGCUCGUAGUCAAACUUGUGGUGUCCCGAUACGUUACCAAGUGUCUAUGACACUACUGUGUUCUGUUGGGGCACCAUCUUUCUGAACACUACUUCUGCUCUUGAUUGAGUUGGUUGUAGAGUACAGAUCUAUUACUGUGAAUAAAUCAGAGUGUUUAAGGCAGGCUUGACGCCCUGAAUGCUUCAGCAUGGAAUAAUAACAUAUGACUUAAGUUUUAUUUAUUGGCUUUUAAAACAUAAGUAAUGAUUGAAAGGGAUAGUUGGGGGUGCUAGUAUUUGACGGUCAGCGGUGAAAUGCAUAGACCCGUCGAAGACUAUCUUAUGCGAAAGCGUUCACCAAGGAUAUCUUCU
rnacentral:rRNA from 1 species